rnacentral:rRNA from 1 species
CCCUUAGAUGUUCUGGGCCGCACGCGUGCUACACUGAGUAAUUCAAUGGGUAAGGGAACGCUAGAGCAUUACCUAAUCUUGAAAUUUGCUCGUGAUGGGGAUCGACGGUUGCAAUUUUCCGUCGUGAACGAGGAAUUCCUUGUAGGCGCAUGUCAUCAUCAUGCGCCGAAUACGUCCCUGCCCUUUGUACACACCGCCCGUCGCUCCUACCGAUUGAGUGAUCCGGUGAGGCUCUGGGACCUGGACGGAAAGAGCGUUUCGCUUGUUCUGUUUGGGAAACUUGGUCGAACCUUAUCAUUUAGAGGAAGGAGAAGUCGUAACA